CAGCUCUCACGGUGUUUCCUGCUAAUCUCCCUUUCUGGCUAUUAUUCAGCUACCGCGAAUCCUCCUCAAGCUUCCAGCUUCCUUUUAGCUGUAGAAAGAGAAUGAAAAAAAUGUACCCUGAGACCCUGGAUUUUUUUUUUCUUCCUUUUCUGUUGCCAGUGAAUCUGUUUGAAAAGCAGCUGGCGCAGGCCGCAGAAAUGUGUGCCAGCACUAAUGGAGACGCAGGAGCCGCGCUGCAGGGCAUCCAGGCACCGCCAAACAUGGGCUUACUGUGGGUCCGCCCUCCCGGGGUGACCUGCCGGUGACACGCGUUUCGGACCUGCAGAGGGAGUCUGGAGCGUUGGAAAUGUUUCCCCUCUUCUUGAUUUUCUUUGGAGGCCCCAUACACUGUAUUAGUUCCACGAUGCAAAGUGCUGCUUCCAAGCAGGUUAACCGGAGCAGACUUCAUCUCGCCCCUCCCCGCAUUUCCUUUCAGGAAAUUCAGGAAGGCCGGGCAUGGCGGCUCACGCCUAUAAUCCCAGCACUUCAGGAGGCCAAGGCAGGCGGAUCACCUGAGAUCAGGCAUUCAAGACCAACCUGGCCAACAUGGUGAAGCCCCAUCUCUACUAAAAAUAUAAAAAAUUAGCCAGGCAUGGUGGUGCGUGUCUGUAAUCCCAGCUACUCGGGAGGCUGAGGCAGGAAAAUUGCUUGAACCCAGGACGCAGAGGUUUCAGUGAGUCAAGAUCGCACCACUGCACUCCAGCCUGGGUGACUGAGUGAGACUCUGUCUCAAAAAAAAAAAAUUUUGUUCAAAGAAAUCUCUUAUCAUUUGAGUAUCAUGACCUUUCUUUAUUGACAAUUGAAGAGCAAACAUUCCAGAUAUUUUAUGAGUUUAAAUGAUGUGCUCUCAAAUUUUUAUUGACUCAGUGCUCUGUUCUUUAUUUCCAAUUAGGGUACAAUUGUACAUCUGAUUAUGAUCAGAGAUCAAUGAUACAUUUCAUAAAGUCAGCGGCACUCGGUGUUAGAAAGGGUGCUACAUAUCAUUCGGUAUUUGGUCUAUUUCUUAUGUCUUUAGAUACAAGAAAAAAUUGAGUAAAAGAUUGUGUGUGUGUGUGUGUGUGUGUGUGUGUAAGAAGAAAACAAAAUAUUAGGUCUUAUUUUCUGGUUUUUUUUUUUUUUUUUUUUUUUGAGACCGAGUCCCACUCUGUCACCCUGGCUAGAGGGCAGUGGUACAAUCUUGGCUCACUGUAACCUCCACCUCCUGGGUUCAAGUGAUUCUCCUACCUCAGCCUCCUGAGUAACUGGGACUACAGGUGCCCACCACCAGGCCCAGCUAAUUUUUUGUAUUUUUAGUAGACACAGUUUUACUGUGUUAGCCAGGAUGGUCUCAAUCUCCUGACCUUGUGAUCCACCCACCUCGGCCUCCCAAAGUGCUGGGAUUACAGGUGUGAGCCCCUGCACCCAGCCAGGUCUCAUUUUCUUAUUUUAAAUCUUUAAUCGAAUCCACAGCCAUCUAAACUACAUAUUCUAUGUCCCUAGAUUCUCAGAAGAAUGAAUCUGAGGAAAACAAAAGCUAAAGAACAUGAAGUUCUUACAUUUUAUCAGUGGUUGGA
rnacentral:lncRNA from 13 species